UACGAAGGGGGCUAGCGUUGCUCGGAAUCACUGGGCGUAAAGCGCACGUAGGCGGCUUCUUAAGUCAGGGGUGAAAUCCUGGAGCUCAACUCCAGAACUGCCUUUGAUACUGAGGAGCUUGAGUCCGGGAGAGGUGAGUGGAACUGCGAGUGUAGAGGUGAAAUUCGUAGAUAUUCGCAAGAACACCAGUGGCGAAGGCGGCUCACUGGACCGGUACUGACGCUGAAGCGCGAAAGCGUGGGGAGCAAACGGGG
rnacentral:rRNA from 1 species